AGUUUAUUUAAAAUUAAAUUUAAUUAAUUUUGUUAUUAUAUUUAAUUAUUUUUUUUUUUAAAUUUUGUUGGGGUGACAUAUAAAAAUAAAUAACUUUAUAAUUUUUAUUUCAAAUAUAUUUGAAUUUUUGAUCCAGUUAUUUCUGAUUAUUAGAUUAACU
rnacentral:rRNA from 1 species